GUGUGCCUUCGGUUGGUGCCGAGGAUACAAUUGACUGAGACCGAGGUGGAGAUCUACAACGAUAAUAAUAUAAUAUCUUAUUAUAUACUAUAUUGAUAUAAUAUAUUAUUAUAGUAUAUUAUAAUAUAUUAUAGUAAUAAUAUAUUAAUAUAUUAUAAUAUAAAAAUAUAAAAAUAUAUAAUAAUAUUUAUAUAAUAAAAAAUAUUAUGAAAAAUAUGGAUAGAACUUAGCAACCUAUUCAAAAAAUUA
rnacentral:lncRNA from 1 species